ensembl:lncRNA
GUCUGUUUGGUGUCUCUUAUCGAGAGAAAUGGAGAGUUAUGAGCAGUUUUACAGCAGGACAAUGAGCGCGCUGCUGCCGCCCGCCUGCAGUACCUCACCGCGGCCGCAGAGGGCGCUGUCCGACAUUCACUUCCGCGGCAGGAGACUCUUACAGCCGGUGGUGAGUGAAGCGCUGCGUGUUCAGAUGGCUGAAGACAGACAGACAGCGGUGGAGAGAGACAGGAGGAGACAGACGAGACAGACAGACGCUCUUCUGGAGCGAGUGCAUGACAUCCUCAACAACAUCCAGCUGAAGAAGGUGCAGAAGGAGCCGGACAGCGCAGAGACGCCCACAUCAGACUCCUCUCUGACUCUCGGGUCCAAAACGAGCCCGAUGCGCUCCAUCAGAACCAGCGCGAGGCCGAGUACAGCUCCAGCUCAGAAGCAGACGCUCAGCCCCAGCAGCUCUCUGAAGAGAGAGACCCUCCGCCUGCUCAACCAGCGCAUGGAGAAGCUGGCGUCUGACGCGUCCAGCGACGGCUCGGUCCCAGCAUCCCCUUAUUCCAGCCUCUGUCUCAGUCUGAUGGGCUCCUACGCCCAGUUACCCAGCCCUCAGCCCAGCCGCAGCCCACGAGCGAACGCAUGCGCCGGAAACAUCCUCAUCUCCAGCCCCGUCAGCGAGUCCGAGCUCAGCACCACUGGAUCUAACAACAAUGAGCAAGCUUUCACCGCAUCUUCACCGCCCUCUUCUGCUGCAGAAUGGAACUGCAGCGGUUCAGAGUUCAGUGAUAGACAGCUGUCAAUCAUUACCUCCACACCCAGCAGCACCAGCAGCUGGACAGGAAUGACCGGGUUCGAUGAAACACAAGAUGAGAGCGGUGAGAAACCCAGACCGGCCCGUCGCUCAGCCCCGGCGCCCCUCAACCGCUCCUAUGAUGUAGAAAACCCCUCGCCAUCUCUGAACAGACCACAUGUGGAUUCAGUCGGGCCGAACCCAAGCCGAUUAGACACAGAAGGACACUCACAGCGGCUCCUGGAUGACCAGGUGAACCUCAGACAGCUCACUGGAGGUCAGUAAGAGAUCAGGCCUGAACCUGAUGGUUCACAGAGUCUGAUCAAAAUCACAUCAGAUGUUUAUGAUAGAUGUUUAUAGAACGUUGAUAGAUAGACAGAAACUGUUUGAAAGAGACUAGAGAUCUUGUAAAAAAAGUAAAAAAGUAAAAAAAAACACAACAUUUCACUUCAGAUACAUAGUUGCCGAGGCAUUUCUUAUUUUCAUUUAGUUUAUCGUUAUGUAUUAAAAUAUCUGAAACUAAAACUAAAAUUAAAAAAAAACUAUAGAAAUAUUUGAAGAAGAAUAGACAUAUUUAGACAAAUAGACAUAAUAAAAAAUGACAAAAACACA